GUAACGCGUAGUCCAACCUUCCCUGUACUAGGGGAUAGCCCAGCGAAAGUCGGAUUAAUACCCUAGUGUUUUCCGAAGCGAGCAUUUAAUUUGGAACAAAGGUUUACCGGUAUAGGAUGGGGAUGCGUCUGAUUAGAUAGGUAGGCGGGGUAACGGCCCACCUAGUCGACGAUCAGUAGGGGUUCUGAGAGGAAGGUCCCCCACAUUGGAACUGAGACACGGUCCAAACUCCUACGGGAGGCAGCAGUGAGGAAUAUUGGGUCAAUGGACGAGGAGUCUGAACCAGCCAAGUAGCGUGCAGGAUGACGGCCCUAUGGGUUGUAAACUGCUUUUAUAUAGGGAUAAAGUGGAGGGACGUGUCCCUUACUGUAGGUACUAUAUGAAUAAGGACCGGCUAAUUCCGUGCCAGCCGCAGC
rnacentral:rRNA from 1 species